rnacentral:rRNA from 1 species
GAUGAACGCUAGCGACAGGCUUAACACAUGCAAGUCGAGGGGCAGCACGAUGUAGCAAUACAUUGGUGGCGACCGGCGCACGGGUGCGUAACACGUAUGCAACCUACCCAUAAGCGGGGAAUAACCCGGAGAAAUCCGGACUAAUACCGCAUAGUACGUUUGAGUGGGCAUCACUUAAACUUUAAAGAUUUAUCACUUAUGGGAUGGGCAUGCGCAUGAUUAGAUAGUAGGCGGGGUAACGGCCCACCUAGUCAACGAUCAUUAGGGGUUCUGAGAGGAAGGUCCCCCACAUUGGUACUGAGACACGGACCAAACUCCUACGGGAGGCAGCAGUGAGGAAUAUUGGUCAAUGGGCGAGAGUCUGAACCAGCCAAGUCGCGUGAAGGAAGAAGGAUCUAUGGUUCGUAAACUUCUUUUUUAGGGGAAUAAAGUGCGGUACGUGUACCGUUUUGUAUGUACCCUACGAAUAAGGAUCGGCUAACUCCGUG